rnacentral:rRNA from 1 species
UCCGUAGGUGAACCUGCGGAAGGAUCAUUACCGAGUGUUGGGUCCUUCGGGGCCCAACCUCCCACCCGUGCUUACCGUACCCUGUUGCUUCGGCGGGCCCGCCUUCGGGCGGCCCGGGGCCUGCCCCCGGGACCGCGCCCGCCGGAGACCCCAAUGGAACACUGUCUGAAAGCGUGCAGUCUGAGUUGAUUGAUACCAAUCAGUUAAAACUUUCAACAAUGGAUCUCUUGGUUCCGGCAUCGAUGAAGAACGCAGCGAAAUGCGAUAACUAAUGUGAAUUGCAGAAUUCAGUGAAUCAUCGAGUCUUUGAACGCACAUUGCGCCCCCUGGUAUUCCGGGGGGCAUGCCUGUCCGAGCGUCAUUUCUCCCCUCCAGCCCCGCUGGUUGUUGGGCCGCGCCCCCCCGGGGGCGGGCCUCGAGAGAAACGGCGGCACCGUCCGGUCCUCGAGCGUAUGGGGCUCUGUCACCCGCUCUAUGGGCCCGGCCGGGGCUUGCCUCGACCCCCAAUCUUCUCAGAUUGACCUCGGAUCAGGUAGGGAUACCCGCUGAACUUAAGCAUAUCAAUAAGCCGGAGGAACAUUACCGAGUGCUGGGUCCUUCGGGGCCCAACUCCCCCCGUGCUUACCGUACCCUGUUGCUUCGGCGGGCCCGCCUUCGGCGCGGCCCGGGGCCUGCCCCGGGACCGCGCCCGCGGAGACCCCAAUGGAACACUGUCUGAAAGCGUGCAGUCUGAGUUGAAUUGAUACCAAUCACUUAAAACUUUCACAAUGGAAUCUCUUGCGUUCGGCAUCGAUGCAAAAACGCAUCAAAAUGCGCAUAACUAAAUGGUGAAUUUGCAGAAAUUCAGUGAAAUCAUCGAGAUCUUUGAAACACAAUUGCGCCCUGGGUUAUUUCCGGGGGGGGGCAUGCCUGGUCCAAGCAAUCAUUUUCUCCCCCCCCCUGGAGGGUUUCGGGGGGCCCGCCCCCCCCCGGGGGCGGGGCCACUCAAGAAGAAAAAAAGAAAGCCCCCCACCUAGUUGCCAUCGGGGAGAAUAGGAGGGGCUUUUUUCCCCCCCC